rnacentral:rRNA from 1 species
UACGUGAGGGCGCAAGCGUUGUCCGGAAUUAUUGGGCGUAAAGAGCUCGUAGGCGGUCUGUCGCGUCUGCUGUGAAAACUCAGGGCUUAACCCUGAGCUUGCAGUGGGUACGGGCAGACUAGAGUGCGGUAGGGGAGACUGGAAUUCCUGGUGUAGCGGUGAAAUGCGCAGAUAGUCAGGAGGAACACCGGUGGCGAAGGCGGGUCUCGUGG